UACGUAGGGGGCAAGCGUUGUCCGGAUUUAUUGGGGGUAAAGAGCGUGUAGGCGGCCAGGUAGGUCCGUUGUGAAAACUCGAGGCUCAACCUCGAGACGUCGAUGGAAACCAUCUGGCUAGAGUCCGGAAGAGGAGAGUGGAAUUCCUGGUGUAGCGGUGAAAUGCGCAGAUAUCAGGAAGAACACCCGUGGCGAAGGCGGCAUUCUGGACCGACAUUGACGCUGAGGAGCGAAAGCCAGGGGAGCAAACGGG
rnacentral:rRNA from 1 species